AACGCGAAGAACCUUACCAAGGCUUGACAUAUAGCGAAAAGUGGCAGAGAUGUCAUGUCCGCAAGGGCGCUAUACAGGUGGUGCAUGGUUGUCGUCAGCUCGUGUCGUGAGAUGUUGGGUUAAGUCCCGCAACGAGCGCAACCCUCGUUCUGUGUUACCAGCAUUCAGUUGGGGACUCACAGGAGACUGCCGGGGUCAACUCGGAGGAAGGUGGGGAUGACGUCAAAUCAUCAUGCCCCUUAUGUCUUGGGCUGCACGCAUGCUACAAUGGCCGGUACAAAGUGCUGCGAGAUCGUAAGAUUGAGCGAAUCACAUAAAGCCGGUCUCAGUUCGGAUUGAGGUCUGCAACUCGACCUCGUGAAGUCGGAGUUGCUAGUAAUCGUAGAUCAGCAACGCUACGGUGAAUACGUUCCCGGGUCUUGUACACACCG
rnacentral:rRNA from 1 species